rnacentral:rRNA from 1 species
AACGAACGCUGGCGGCAGGCCUAACACAUGCAAGUCGAACGCUGUAGCAAUACAGAGUGGCAGACGGGUGAGUAACGCGUGGGAACCUUCCCAAUGGUACGGAAUAGCCCAGGGAAACUUGGGGUAAUACCGUAAACGCCCCCAGGGGGAAAGAUUUAUCGCCAUUGGAUGGGCCCGCGUCGGAUUAGCGAGUUGGUGAGGUAAUGGCUCACCAAGGAAACGAUCCGUAGCUGGUUUGAGAGAAUGACCAGCCACACUGGGACUGAGACACGGCCCAGACUCCUACGGGAGGCAGCAGUGGGGAAUCUUGGACAAUGGGCGCAAGCCUGAUCCAGCCAUGCCGCGUGAGUGACGAAGGCCUUAGGGUUGUAAAGCUCUUUUGCCGGGGACGAUAAUGACGGUACCCGGAGAAUAAGUCCCGGCUAACUUCGUGCCAGCAGCCGCCGUAA